rnacentral:rRNA from 1 species
UGAGGAACAUGACCUUCGGCGGGGGAUAGCCGGCCCAACGGCCGGGUAAUACCGCGUACGACCACAUGGGGACAUCCCUGAGUGGUGAAAGCAGCAAUGCGCCGAUGGAGUGCCUCGCGGCCUAUCAGCUAGUUGGUGGGGUAAUGGCUCACCAAGGCGACGACGGGUAGCUGGUCUGAGAGGAUGGCCAGCCACAUUGGGACUGAGACACGGCCCAGACCUCUACGGGGAGG